GGUGUGGGGGCUUCUCCAAGACUCACGACCCUCUUCAGAGACUCUGUUCUGUGGCUUGCAAAGCGGUGGUUAAUAGAGUGUUUCUCAAAAUGUCCCCCCAGGACCCUUGUGGGAGGGGGUCCCCCAGGACUUUUGGGUGUGGGGGCUUCUCCAGGACCCACGACCAUCUCAGGGGUCCAUGAAAUCAAAACAAUUAACCAGCUUACCUCGAAAAAAAUAGCUCCCCAUCCUAUAAGGGUGAGAAGCAGCAGCGAAUGGAUCCAUUUUAAUUAUUAAUCUGAAUGUUGAUGAAGAUUUUCAGUCAUCCAGAUCAUAGUUGUCCCCACGGUGCUUUCUCAAGAGGCAACUGGACUUCCUUGUUAACAAGGAACUCGAAAAACACCUUUGGGACAUCUCAUUGCAGGAUCUGCUGCAGACGGAUCAAUCUGGUCUGAUGGAUGAUUUCAAUGCUGUUGGUAAUAUUCAUAUUCCCCCAGGAGGUGGCGCUAAAAUUCCAUUUCCACGAAGCGGGAGGUUGAAAGAGACUCCACCAUCCUAUAAUCCUUUCCCCAAGGUGUUGCUUAAACACAUCUACCAAAUGUUGUAGGUUAUGUGUUUCUGUAACCACACCCACUGUCCUACUGCCCAUUUUUAUUAGAAAGUUUUCCCUUCCUUUAACCAGGACCUGCCUUCCUGGAAUUUAGUAUAACUUAGUAUAUUGUUCCAUACCCUGUACAGAUCGUCCUUAACUCACAAAGGUUAUAGUGACUAUUCAAGUUACAAAAGUACUGAAAAAUGUGAUUCAUGGCUGCUUUUCACAUGUCCAUUGCAGCAUCCUCAUGGUCGUGUGAUCAAAAUUCAGACAUUUUGGCAACUGGCAGGUGUUUUUUGAGGAUUGCAGUGCCUUUAGCAAUCUUCCGACAAGCAAAGUCAAUGAAGAAGCCAGAUUCAUUCUUAACCAUUUUAGAAUCGAAUCGAAUCAAAUAGAAUUUUUAUUGGCCAAGUGUGAUUGGACACACAAGGAAUUUGUUACUAACAACUGCAGUGGUUCACUUAACAACUGUAGCAAGAAAGAUCGUAAAAUGGAGCAAAAUUCACUUAAUGACUAUCUUGCUUAGCAAUGGCAAUUUUGGGCUCAAUUGUGGUCGUAAGUUGAGGACCGCCUAUACUCUGAAGACAAACAGGCCCCAGCAUGCUUCUCUAGGACAUUUUCAAGCGCUUGAAGAAUGUUAACCAUAUUCCUGAUCAGUCUUGCGUUUGACAUCUAAACAUACUCAUUUUCUUCACAAUCUCUGAAGCCCCGAGUUCCAAUCCCACUAGUCAUCUCCUCUUCUGACCCUGUUUUAUUUUCCCCAACUGCUUCUUGAAAAGCAAUGACAAGAAUUGAAUCCUUUCUGAAGUCUGUAUCCGACCUAUGUGUAAUAUAUUAAAUGUAUUACUUUCCAGUAUUUGAUACUUAUUUGUUGAUGCAGCCUAAAAUAGCAUUUGCCUUUUUCACAGCAGACUCAUAGUUCUGAUUCAUACUUAGCUGGCAAUCUAUUCUGAACUGAGCACAUUUUCAGACGGACUCUUACCAAGCCUGUUCAAUACCUGUUUGUUGCUUUUUUUACCUAAAAGAAGAACAGGAGUGUAUUGUCAUCAAAAUAUUUUUGCAAGCUGUUGGACGGAGGAGAAAGUUCUUGCAGCACAGACAGUUUUGGCUAAGUUACCAAGCGUCUUCCUUUUUCUAGAGAAAUGGAUCUCCAGUGCCUUCCUUUUUCUGGAGAAAUAGAUUAUUCUUAAGAAUUAGCUUCCUCAACAGCUAUGAAAUAACGGUCUCAAAAAAGAAAAACAUGCUACUUUUCUCUAGAGAGCUGGUGGGACAGGAUACAGUCCUUGUGUGUGUGUGGGGGGGGGUAUGCGCACUGGAUAAACUUUGAUGGGGGUUUCCCCCACUUCUGUAACUGCAACAGCCACAUAGUUUUGAACUGUUGGGUCUAAUUGAGUAAUAUUUCCCAUCCUGAAUCAGAAUAUAACACAAAUAUGUUAAUGAAGACUAAAAAGAGGAUAUUUGAAGGGGCUUCACACUGCUUGAAAUAGGCCCAACUUACUUUGGAAGGGAAAGAGAAGGGAAGGAGAACCGGACAGACAUCCAAAAAGCAAUGUUAGAUUUGGGAUUGAAGUUUAGUUAUGUCAGGGACAAGCAUUCUGAACCACAAGUGUAUAGUCUCAAGCGGAAGCUUUAUUGUUAGCCACCUGUGUUACAAGAAUCUCACCAGACUCUCUGCCUUCCCCUGAGAACAGUUCAGAUCUGGCCCCGCCAGCAGCAAAGGACUGGCCCGUGGUGCCUCUGCCAGUGAAAACAGAGCUCAGGAGAGCUGGCGCAGCCCUCCCUGGCUCCGUUUUUGGCUGCGACGACCUCCUGCAGUCUUCUGCCAGCAAGAACUGGAGGCCAUCAAAGCCAAAAACUGAGCUCAGGAGCCCAUUUUCACUGGAGGAGCACUUGGGCCGCCACAGGCGCCCCCAACAUGAGUGACGUCAAGUUGGCCACGCCCACCCUGGCCACAUCCACCUCAUUGCGCCCCCCUCCCCCGUGAAAUCAAACGCCAUCCUGAUGCAGCCCUCACUGAAAUCAUGUUUGACACCCACCCCCCCGAGAUAAAGGCUUCAGAGAUUCUGGGGA